UUACAUUUCAUGUCAUCGAUGUUCUCAAAUGUGUGAGUAUAGCUUGACUCUUACAAGGACUUCUCUAAAAAGGGCACAUUGGCCAUGAAAUGCAAGAAGGCAGAGAAAUAUAAAAAGUGGAAACCACAAAAUGAAGAGGUGACAUCGAUGAAAUACACUCAGUGGCAGAGGUGACGAGGACAAAAUCAGAAA